rnacentral:rRNA from 1 species
AGUGAACGCUGGCGGUAGGCCUAACACAUGCAAGUCGAACGGCAGCACAGUAAGAGCUUGCUCUUACGGGUGGCGAGUGGCGGACGGGUGAGGAAUACAUCGGAAUCUACUUUUUCGUGGGGGAUAACGUAGGGAAACUUACGCUAAUACCGCAUACGACCUACGGGUGAAAGCAGGGGAUCUUCGGACCUUGCGCGAUUGAAUGAGCCGAUGUCGGAUUAGCUAGUUGGCGGGGUAAAGGCGCACCAAGGCGACGAUCCGUAGCUGGUCUGAGAGGAUGAUCAGCCACACUGGAACUGAGACACGGUCCAGACUCCUACGGGAGGCAGCAGUGGGGAAUAUUGGACAAUGGGCGCAAGCCUGAUCCAGCCAUACCGCGUGGGUGAAGAAGGCCUUCGGGUUGUAAAGCCCUUUUGUUGGGAAAGAAAAGCAGCAGGUUAAUACCCCGCUGUUCUGACGGUACCCAAAGAAUAAGCACCGGCUAACUUCGUG